rnacentral:snoRNA from 1 species
UCACAUGAUGAAUCGGCACUGGGCUCCGAUUUUUCCUCGUGAGCAAGAGACGCCAUUUUGCGGCAGGCCUAGAAAACCUCGCCCACUGACU